rnacentral:rRNA from 1 species
GUAGGUGGCAAGCGUUGUCCGGAGUUAUUGGGCGUAAAGCGCGCGCAGGCGGUUCUUUAAGUCUGAUGUGAAAGCCCACGGCUCAACCGUGGAGGGUCAUUGGAAACUGGAGAACUUGAGUACAGAAGAGGAAAGCGGAAUUCCACGUGUAGCGGUGAAAUGCGUAGAGAUGUGGAGGAACACCAGUGGCGAAGGCGGCUUUCUGGUCUGUAACUGACGCUGAGGCGCGAAAGCGUGGGGAGCAAACAGGGAUUAGAUACCCUGGUAGUCCACGCCGUAAACGAUGAGUGCUAAGUGUUAGGGGGUUUCCGCCCCCUUAGUGCUGCAGCUAACGCAUUAAGCACUCCGCCUGGGGAGUACGACCGCAAGAUUG